rnacentral:rRNA from 1 species
AGAGUUUGAUCCUGGCUCAGAUUGAACGCUGGCGGCAGGCCUAACACAUGCAAGUCGAGCGGAUGAAGGGAGCUUGCUCCUGGAUUCAGCGGCGGACGGGUGAGUAAUGCCUAGGAAUCUGCCUGGUAGUGGGGGAUAACGUCCGGAAACGGGCGCUAAUACCGCAUACGUCCUGAGGGAGAAAGUGGGGGAUCUUCGGACCUCACGCUAUCAGAUGAGCCUAGGUCGGAUUAGCUAGUUGGUGGGGUAAAGGCCUACCAAGGCGACGAUCCGUAACUGGUCUGAGAGGAUGAUCAGUCACACUGGAACUGAGACACGGUCCAGACUCCUACGGGAGGCAGCAGUGGGGAAUAUUGGACAAUGGGCGAAAGCCUGAUCCAGCCAUGCCGCGUGUGUGAAGAAGGUCUUCGGAUUGUAAAGCACUUUAAGUUGGGAGGAAGGGCAGUAAGUUAAUACCUUGCUGUUUUGACGUUACCAACAGAAUAAGCACCGGCUAACUUCGUGCCAGCAGCCGCGGUAAUACGAAGGGUGCAAGCGUUAAUCGGAAUUACUGGGCGUAAAGCGCGCGUAGGUGGUUCAGCAAGUUGGAUGUGAAAUCCCCGGGCUCAACCUGGGAACUGCAUCCAAAACUACUGAGCUAGAGUACGGUAGAGGGUGGUGGAAUUUCCUGUGUAGCGGUGAAAUGCGUAGAUAUAGGAAGGAACACCAGUGGCGAAGGCGACCACCUGGACUGAUACUGACACUGAGGUGCGAAAGCGUGGGGGAGCAAACAGGAUUAGAUACCCUGGUAGUCCACGCCGUAAACGAUGUCGACUAGCCGUUGGGAUCCUUGAGAUCUUAGUGGCGCAGCUAACGCGAUAAGUCGACCGCCUGGGGAGUACGGCCGCAAGGUUAAAACUCAAAUGAAUUGACGGGGGCCCGCACAAGCGGUGGAGCAUGUGGUUUAAUUCGAAGCAACGCGAAGAACCUUACCUGGCCUUGACAUGCUGAGAACUUUCCAGAGAUGGAUUGGUGCCUUCGGGAACUCGGACACAGGUGCUGCAUGGCUGUCGUCAGCUCGUGUCGCAAGAUGUUGGGUUAAGUCCCGUAACGAGCGCAACCCUUGUCCUUAGUUACCAGCACCUCGGGUGGGCACUCUAAGGAGACUGCCGGUGACAAACCGGAGGAAGGUGGGGAUGACGUCAAGUCAUCAUGGCCCUUACGGCCAGGGCUACACACGUGCUACAAUGGUCGGUACAAAGGGUUGCCAAGCCGCGAGGUGGAGCUAAUCCCAUAAAACCGAUCGUAGUCCGGAUCGCAGUCUGCAACUCGACUGCGUGAAGUCGGAAUCGCUAGUAAUCGUGAAUCAGAAUGUCACGGUGAAUACGUUCCCGGGCCUUGUACACACCGCCCGUCACACCAUGGGAGUGGGUUGCUCCAGAAGUAGCUAGUCUAACCGCAAGGGGGACGGUUACCACGGAGUGAUUCAUGACUGGGGUGAAGUCGUAACAAGGUAACC